GGCGGGCAUGCCUGUCCGAGCGUCAUUUCCUCCCUCACGCAGCGCGCCUGCGUGGUGUUGGGGUGUUCUGCGGCCAGGCCUGCGCCCA
rnacentral:rRNA from 1 species